rnacentral:lncRNA from 1 species
GUAAACCUGUCUGGGGAGAGUAAAGUCUGCCCCGGGCUCAUGCACCAGUGGUGCCCCAGAAGUGUCUCCUGCUGGCCUCCUCCACAGCCUCCUCUCCCCCUCCACUUCCAGGCCAAGCUCUGUUCUCCAGGACCAGAAUUCCUUCAUCUCCACUCCAGGAAAGGCCACAUGUCUCUGGAGAGAUUGACAGAAGAACCGAGGGUCCCUCUCUGCUCUUCCCUGCUUGUUGUAUCCUGAGUGUUGGGAGACUCGGUUACAUCAGACAAGUAAAGAAGUGCAUUUGACUUCAUCUUUUUAAAGGAAUGAAAUGCAGCACAGAAGCCCACAGUGUGCUCCUUCUUCUGUAGCCUGGCCAAGUGAAAGUUUUGCGAUGUGUGAGGAAAACACAUUCACAUCCCUUGGAGAGUUUUGCAGAAUAUUUUCAAGGAAUAAAAUUGGAAGCUGUGGCCUUAGGUCAAUUAGUAACCAAGACACAUCCCGAGAAGUGUGCUGCAGUGUGAUUCUGUCAUCGAGGAAACAUCAGCCCACACUCACAUGGUGGAGGAGGAUCGUGGCUCCUCCUGGAGAUACGCUGUCACGAGGCCUCUGUCGAGUCCAUGGCCCACUGGUGACCGGAUGUUUGGAAGCACGCGGCUGUGUCUUGUUCGCAGCCACUGCAGGUUUUGCUCCAGAGUAUAGAGGACUGCCAAGUGGAGUCACUGCCUCCUGACCUUGGAAGAAGAGGAUGUCUGAGAACAGAAUUCACUAUGUAACUACUUAAGCCCAAAGAAAACCUCUUAAAUGUACAUUGUGAAAGAGCAUUUCCGGGCUCUGCUUCAAACUAAAUUGGCCUAGAUUUUCAUGGGGAUGCACUGUACUGUGAUUAAGGCGAAACAAUACCCCAGGAGUUUAUAUCGCUAGAGUGGCUGUCCAGCAAAAGAAAGACAGUCAUCCCUGCCCCCCUCUCGAGAGGGCAUGGUCCAAACACAGUGUUUGCUGUUGAAAGUUCACAUAUUAAAACCAGAAGUCAAUAACAUGAAACCUAGAGCCUUCCCUUUGGCAUUAUUUUCCAACAUCUCGUUCUGUGUACUAGUAAGGCACGACCGUACUGAAGCUGUGCGUAGGGUUUCUUCCUGUCUGCAUUUGUCUUACUUUGUUUUUAAC